rnacentral:rRNA from 1 species
UACAGGGGGUGCAAACGUUGCUCGGAAUCAUUGGGCGUAAAGCGCACGUAGGCGGUCUGUUAUGUCGGAUGUGAAAGCCCUUGGCUCAACUGAGGAAGUGCAUCCGAAACUGGCAGGCUAGAGUACGAAAGAGGAUCGCGGAAUUCCCGGUGUAGAGGUGAAAUUCGUAGAUAUCGGGAGGAACACCGGUGGCGAAGGCGGCAUCCUGGACCGGCAUUGACGCUGAGGCGCGAAAGCCAGGGGAGCAAACGGG